rnacentral:rRNA from 1 species
UCUACGGGUGGCAGCAGUGAGGAAUAUUGGUCAAUGGCCGGAAGGCUGAACCAGCCAUGCCGCGUGAAGGUCAGUGCCCUAUGGGCGUUAAACUUCUUUUGUGCGGGAGCAAUAAUGGUCACGUGUGGCCAGACGAGAGUACCGUACGAAUAAGCAUCGGCUAACUCCGUGCCAGCAGCCGCGGUAAUACGGGGGAUGCAAGCGUUAUCCGGAUUUAUUGGGUUUAAAGGGUGCGUAGGCUGUGAGGUAAGUCAGCGGUGAAAUGCCCCCGCUCAACGGGGUGGAGUGCCAUUGAUACUGCCUUGCUGGAAUGCGGAUGCGGUGGGAGGAAUGUGUGGUGUAGCGGUGAAAUGCAUAGAUAUCGCGCAGAACUCCGAUUGCGAAGGCAGCGUACCGGCGCCGGACUGACGCUGAGGCACGAAAGCGUGGGUAUCGAACAGGAUUAGAUACCCGAGUAGUC